rnacentral:rRNA from 1 species
UACAGAGGGCGCGAGCGUUGUCCGGAAUCACUGGGCGUAAAGGGCGCGUAGGUGGCCACCAUAAGGCCGCGGUGAAAGUUUGGGGCUCAACCCCAGAUCGGCCGCGGCGACUGUGGGGCUGGGGCACUGUAGAGGCAGAUGGAAUUCCGGGUGUAGCGGUGGAAUGCGUAGAGAUCGGGAAGAACAUCGGUGGCGAAGGCGGUCUGCUGGGCCGUUGCUGACGCUGGAGAAGCGGAAAGCAUGGGGAGCGAACAGG